rnacentral:snRNA from 1 species
AUCCUUACCUGGCAGGGGAGAUCACAAAGGUGGUUUCCCAGGGCAAGGCUUACCCACCGCACUCCAGACGUGCUGAGCCCUGUGACUUCCCUAAACCUGGGAAACUCAACUGCAUAACUUAUGGUAGUGGGGGACUGAAAUCACAUU